UACAUUAUUGCAUUGAAUAAACAGUAGUUUGUUUUCUUUGGACAGAUUUUUUUUUUUCUAUGUUGCAAUGUCAAAAAGAAUACGAACUGCCCCUACCAUUCCCAUCACAAACGAGUUCAAUACGUCUCUCGUUCCAUGCCGGAUUAGGCAGUGUCUUCCGCAGAACGAAAAGUUCGUUUUUAAAUCGGUUAUGGUAGAAUGGAGAUAAAAAUACUGUGAGAAACAUGUUUUACU